CAGCAAGUUCAAAUAUUUGGCAUUGGCAAACACAGGGCUUUCAAUAUUUUAAUUGAAAGUUUAAUGCUGACUGACUUUAUUAGAUGCAGUUCAAGAAUCCAGUUAGGAGAAAUACAUAAUUUUUUUCCAUUCAACACAUAAGACACAGAGAAAAAGACAUUUGCAAUUAUUUCUACCUUGCAGAGAAUUUAACUUCUGUAUGGACGUCCAAUAUGUAGGUCAACUUACCCUUUUGCCAGGCAUUGUUCUCGCAUUCAGCAGGAUUCUGCUGGCUUGGUAUCUUCAGAGAGCACAACAAUGACAGGUUUUUCUGAUGAAUUCAAGUGACAACUAGCUAUUAGGAAAUACCUGGGGCUAUGAGCUGUUGAUUCAGCUGAACUCUUUACAUAUCUAAAUCCAAUUGAUUUCUGAGUGUCAAUAGGCCUUUGGCUUUUGAGUCAGAAGAAGCCUGAGAGUGACUAGGAAAAGACAUGAAGGCUGGCAUAGAAGUUAGUGUUUCUACUUCUACUUUAUGGUGGAAUAUUUUUGUGGUUCUCAAGAAAUGUCCAACCCCUGGUUUGGUAAAGACUUGCCAUUCUGGAUUAAAUUUGCAUCAGCAGUUCAUUUGGCACAGAAAUAGUCAUUUAUUUGGAUUCCACCUUUCCUACUCUUGAACAUUAUUCUUCAGUUACUUUUAAGAAUCUUCCAUGGUCUGUCCAUAAUUUUAUCUAUACUGUAUAGUUCAGUUGGUCAAAGUUGUCUUUUCUGUCUUCUAUUCUUCCAAAAGCUCUCUUCUCUGUGAGCGUCUUGAGUCCAUCUCUAGUUUCUUAGACACCUCAUCUCUUUAUUUGUAGAGGAAGAGCUUUAGGUUAUCCCUUGGUAUGUUUGGAUAAGGUAUGUGAGAAAGACAGAAAAGUUUUUUAUGCUAAGGUGACAGAACCCAAACUGGUAGAAUUCCAAACAUCGGCCAGUAAAUGGGGAAGAAUCUUCCCACAGUCAUGACUCAUUUUCUGCAGGUGCAAAUAUUUAAGUUAUAUUAUAGAUAGUAUUUUCAGAAUUGAAAAGCAGCCGAGGUGGCCAGAUCACCUGAGGUCAGGAGUUUGAGACCAGCCUGGCCAACAUGGCAAAACCCCAUCUCUACUAAAAGUACAAAAAUUAGCCAGGCAAGGUGGCAGGCACCUGUAAUCCCAGCUAAUCAGGAGGCUGAAGCAGGAGAAUAACUUGAAACUGGGAAGCAGAGGUUGCAGUGAGCCGAGAUUGUGCCACUGCACCCCAGCCUGGGUGACAAGAGUGAGACUCCACCUCAAAAAAAAAAAAAAAAAAAAAAAAGAAAAAAGAAAGAAAGAAAGAAAAGAAAAGGCAAAUCUCCCAAAUUUCCAACGAGCAGACCUCACUAGACUUAAUGGCUUAAGAAUGCAAACUUGGCCAGGCACGGUGGCUCAUGCCUGUAAUCCCAGCACUUUGGGAGGCCAAGGUAACUGGAUCACGAGUUCAGGAUUUCAAGACCAGCCUGGCCAAGACGGUGGAACCCGUCUCUACUAAAAAAUACAAAAAUUAGCUGGGCGUGGUGGUGGGCACCUGUAAUCCCAGCUACUCAGGAGGCUGAGGCAGAGAAUUGCUUGAACCUGGGAGGCGGAGGUUGCAGUGAGCUGAGAUCUCACCACUGCGCUCCAGCCUGGGCGAUAGAGUGAGACUCCAUCUCAAAAAAAAAGAAUGCAAACUUGUUAAUUAGCUAGUUACUUAGAUGCAAAACUAACCAAAAGUUGGAAAACAAACAUAUCUCUGAGAACAUAAGUACAAACUCACGUUAGGCAGACCUGGGCAAAAAUCCUACUUCUGCCACUAACUAGAUUUUUGACAAUGAGCAAAUUUACUUUGACACUGUAACAGUAACUUAGGCCUUAUUUUUCUCUUCUAUAAAAUAGAAAGAAACCCACUGGUUUCUUAAAAUGUGACAGAAAUCUACAUGAGACAUCUAACAAGACAUUUGUAACCAAGGUGAUUUUUCUGGCCAGGUAAGCAAAGCAAGCAUCUCUUUCACCCCUAUGGUUCCAGGUGGACCCUAAAACUUGGUUGAUAAAAACAGCUUUCCAAUUUAGAAGACCAUUCUCUGAAGAUUACAGUACAUCUUAAUAAGGUUGCUAUGAAAUACAAAUAAGAACACAAAGUACAUUGCAUUGUGCCUACACACAGUGGGCUGUUAAUGUUAACCUUUCAUCUUUAUAAUGUUAAUAACUAUAAUAAUGAUAGUAAGAGGUAAUGGAAAAAUCUGAGAAAUAGUCAAAAUAUGAUGAGGCUAGUGGUCAGAUUGGACUCAUGGGAUCAGGGCAUUGGUCAGAUCACCAUAGUCUGGAGUUUGUCUUCAGCAUGUUGGUUCAGAAGACACAGUUGAUCACUACUAGGGAAUGAUUCACAACGACCAAACUCACAAACAGAUGUAAUCAUUUAGGAGAAAAGUCAUUCUCACACGCAAAGAUCCCGAUAUUUUCAAUUCAACUCACCAGAAGAAAUCAGAUUAACUUAAGCUUUAGAGAGGUGAAUUAGAACCAGGGGAGGAAGUUGGCUUAUGUUAAAGACAAAAGUACAUUUUGUAAAGCUGAGGAAUCUGUUUCCACUGCUGGGAUUGAUUUAGCACAUGAAUGAUAAGGGUAAGAUAUUAUAUAGGGGUGCCAAAACUUUCUAUCUUCCAGGCACUUCUGGUGUCAUACUGCAUUUAGGUCUUACUAUUUUUUUCUCCCCCAUUUUUGUCUCCAAGUUCAUCAAUUUCCUUCCACUGCCAAUUUAUUCAUUCUCUUUUUCUUUUAUCCUUCCUUUAUAUUUUUCCUUCUUUAAGGAAAAGUCUCUUUAUUUUUGUAGACUGGAUAAAAUACCUUUCAAUAGUUUUUAGCAUGUAUACUUUAAUAAAGUCAUUCUCAGGCAGCCGCAGCAGCUCACACCUGUAAUCCCAGCACUUUGGGAGGCUAAGGUGAAUAGAUCACUUGAGGUUAGGAAUUCGAGACCAGCCUGGGUGACAUGGCAAAACCCC
rnacentral:lncRNA from 1 species